CAGCAGCCGCGGUAAUACAGAGGGUGCAAGCGUUAAUCGGAAUUACUGGGCGUAAAGCGCGCGUAGGUGGUUUGUUAAGUCGGAUGUGAAAUCCCUGAGCUUAACUUAGGAAUUGCAUUCGAUACUGGGAAGCUAGAGUAUGGGAGAGGAUGGUAGAAUUCCAGGUGUAGCGGUGAAAUGCGUAGAGAUCUGGAGGAAUACCGAUGGCGAAGGCAGCCAUCUGGCCUAAUACUGACGCUGAGGUACGAAAGCAUGGGGAGCAAACAGGAUUAGAUACCCGCGUAGUCCCUGUCUCUUAUAC
rnacentral:rRNA from 1 species